rnacentral:misc_RNA from 1 species
AAACUAUUGGAUGCCAAAACUUCUCUUGUUUCAAAUGGUGAUGAGAGUCGUUAUGGAGCUUCUUUAUUUAUUUAUUUGUACUUCCCAACUGGCAUUAUGAUCUCUUGAGAAUUCCACUCAUGGAGUCAGAUCAGAAUUUCCCACCAGUUAGAAUAACCUGUGCCUCAUCAAAGUUAUUAGUUGCUGCUUUUAUCUCCCUCAAAGGGAAAUAGCGACAGUUUGACUGGG